UUAAUGUCGAGGUUAUCUAUGCAUAUAUAAACGUGUUAUAUGUGUACAUUUUGGAAGAGUUGGAGUGGCACUGCAAAUAAUGGCUUCUAAACCAGGGAUUCUCACCGAUUGGCCAUGGACAUGUCUUGGGAACUUUAAGUACCUGGUGUUGGCUCCUUGGGCAAUUCAAGAAACUUAUUCGUUCAUUGUGAGCGAUGAAAGUGAGAGGGAUCUUUCACAUUUUCUUAUAUUCCCAUUCUUAUUAUUAAGAAUGCUGCAUAA